AUACAACAUCACAGUGAGACCAGUGUUGUGUUCGCUGUGAAGGGAAGAAGACCUAUCGUCGAAGGGAAUCGGUCAUCCGUGAAAGUACAAAGUGACAAAGCCUUCAAACUACCCAGGUACAGAACGUGGAUAUUGUCUCACUGGAUGCUCAUCCACAUACAGAUGAAAGGACGAGAGAUUUCUGCAACAGAUACGGAGACAGUUUAACUCGCCUCUCACCUCAUCACCUCGGUGCAUGUGUCCUGAUGCCAGAUAGCAUACAAAAGAAGAGUAAAUAGCUUUAGGUGGUUCGACAUGUGCUUUGAAUGGUGAAGCAACACCCCAGCUUUCUGUUGAUGUACCUGAGUUGGAGGAUGCCAAUUUGAGAACUAAGGCAGGUGAACUGAAAAUCUCUUUAGCUGACGCUGACAUGACUGACAGUCAGAAGAGUGACUUUGAAUUGUUUUUGGGACAGAAUAGAGAUGUCUUUGCAGUUGACAUGUCAGAAAUAGGUAGGACACACCUGUUUUCCCACAAAAUAAAUACAGGUAAUUACAGUCCAGUAUACCAAAGAGCAUACCCAUGCUCACCUGAGACCAAAGAUGAGAUUGAUAGACAGGUGGAUCAAUUACUUAAGUAUGAGAUGAUAGCUCCUACCUUUUCUCAGUGGAGCUCACCUUUCUUGCUCGUUAAGAAGGCUGACCAUACUUUCAGUUCAAAACUAGUAAUCAAACUCAGACAUACUAAGUGUCUUCGUGUGUAAGAAUUGAUUCCAGUUUAUAUUCAAUUGACAUCUUGUUGCAUGAUUUAUGGAUUUAUACUACUAUCUAUGUAUAAGAUUGUAUGUCAGGUAUAUUUGCUAUUGCAAUUUUCUUCUGAUAUCUAUGUGAUUGAUAUUUACUUGUGAUGUGUUGAUUGUAUCAGA